GGGUAACACUACCUCCUGGGAGGCUGCUCUACAGAACAAAGGAGUGAAAGGCUGUGAGAAACCCCAGCCCCAGGGCCAAGCUCACAGAAGGCAGGACCGAUAUCUGCAAGGCUGCAACUAAACACCACACUGGGGGCAAAACCCAGGAGCCACGGGAGCUCAAUCCCGGCUGAGCGUCUAGCCCAUGGUGGGCCACAGUAGGCCACAUAAAGGCUGCCCUUCUGACGAAGACUUUCAAGAGCUCCUGCCCUGCCCAGCCCCAGCCCAGGGAUGAAGAUGUAGUAUGAACUGCCUGGACCACUGCCGGAGCCCUCAUACUGUGCCCUGCCCUUCACCUUCACUGGCUAUGUCCUACUCUUCCUUCAGACUCAGCCCAGAGGUCACCUCCUACACGGAGCCCUCCCUGAAUUCCUUCUCUGGUCUGGGUUAAGGGCUCCUCCUCCACGUAUCCCUCUCUGAGCAUGUGCCACAUCAAGUAAAU
rnacentral:lncRNA from 10 species